AACGAACGCUGGCGGCAUGCCUAACACAUGUAAGUCGAACGAGACCUUCGGGUCUAGUGGCGCACGGGUGCGUAACGCGUGGGAACCUGCCCUUAGGUUCGGAAUAACUCCCCGAAAGGGGUGCUAAUACCGGAUAAUGUCUUCGGACCAAAGAUUUAUCGCCUUUGGAUGGGCCCGCGUUGGAUUAGCUAGUUGGUAGGGUAAAAGCCUAACAAGGCGACGAUCCAUAGCUGGUCUGAGAGGAUGAUCAGCCACACUGGGACUGAGACACGGCCCAGACUCCUACGGGAGGCAGCAGUGGGGAAUAUUGGACAAUGGGAGAAAGCCUGAUCCAGCAAUGCCGCGUGAGUGAUGAAGGCCUUAGGGUUGUAAAGCUCUUUUACCCGGGAUGAUAAUGACAGUACCGGGAGAAUAAGCUCCGGCUAACUCCGUG
rnacentral:rRNA from 1 species